rnacentral:rRNA from 1 species
AUUGAACGCUGGCGGCAUGCUUUACACAUGCAAGUCGAACGGCAGCGCAGGCUGCGGCCUGGCGGCGGGUGGCGGACGGGCGGGCGAGACAGCGAAACGUCCCCAGCUGGUGGGGAGAGCGGGGCGAAAGCCGGAUAAAUACGGCAAACGACCAUAGGACGAAAGCGGGGAAUCAGCGGACCUUCCGACCUUGCACGGUCCGAUGGCGGAUUAGCUAGUUGGCGGGGUAAAGGCCUACCAAGGCGACGAUCUGUAGCUGGUCUGAGAGGAUGACCAGCCACACUGGAACUGAGACACGGCCCAGACUCCUACGGGAGGCAGCAGUGGGGAAUUUUGGACAAUGGGCGCAAGCCUGAUCCAGCCAUGCCGCGUGUGUGAUGAAGGCCUUCGGGUUGUAAAGCCCUUUUGGCGGGAACGAAAAGGACUAUGCCAAUACCCCGGUUUGCUGACGGUACCCGAAGAAUAAGCACCGGCUAACUACGUG